UAUUUUAUGUAGCGGACUAUAUACAUAUGUUUGAUACUUGAAUUUAACUUUUUCAACUUUAUUUCUUUCCAGUCUGUAAUAUCGAUGUUUUUUCUCCUUGAAUUUUGUGCUCGGGGUUGCUGCGGUAGUUUAUUUCCGUUUACGUUGUCUACCAUUAGCACUUGGUCGAGAACAUUAGAGUAGGAGGAACUUUAUUUGGAUUUCGUAGUACCCUGGGCUGGUGGCGGCGGCAUUCUGGCACCUGAGUAUGAUGAGGUGACACUCAUCAGAAAUGGCUUCCGGGCUGAUGUUGCAACCGCCUCCGUUCCGUUAAAAUCCUGGCAGGCCUCAGAGUACGUUCCCCCCGUCGUCGUUACGUUGACGCGGUAGGUGUAAAUUGAGACGACUCCUUCUUUACGCUGGUCGGCUCUGAACGUAUUGCCUCAAAAAAGCGUACGUCAAACCUCGCCUUGGCCUCGUCACUGAGAUAACAUUGGGAUCAUAAAAACCAGUGGGCACAAACCUGUCGACAAGAGAAGAAGUGAUGGGUGGAAUUUUCAUACGCGGCGAACUCGCCAGCACUAGCAGAAGAACCUCUGAAAGGGUCCACAAAAACAAGGCAGCUUUAGCAAGAAAGCUGAAGUCAGACCGCCAAUUUGCGGCCAAAAUCGUGGAACGCUACGGUGGUAAGCAUGUCUGUCAGGUAUCUGACAUGGGCGCUUCUUGAAGAAAGUCUGAAGGAUGAAAUUCCUCUAGAUUAACCUCCAGCACCCGAAGGCGGCCUCCACCAAUCUACUGCUUCGUCUGGAACAAGACGGAGCCGAAGUUGUGCUGAUCCAGCAACUGUGGCUGACUAGUAAUGGGAUCUCUGGAUUGAGGACGAAAAGCCAUAAGCUGCUAGCGUCCAAGGAUGCAGCAACGCUGACGUAAUGACAGCAAAACUGGAGUGUGACACCGGAGAUGUUUGGCUCAUCUCCACGUACAUGCCACACGACGAUGAGGUGAAGCCACCUCCCUUACUGCUGGGGAGGACCUUGGCUGAAGCGUCAGGGAAGGUAUCAGCAUCGGUUUCGGCGCCAACUCGCGACACCCAAACUGGAGUAGCUCGGAUACCAAUAAUAGAGGCAGUGAGGAGGUUCUUGACCUCCCCUAACCUCACACGGGAUUGCUCCGCUGAUCUCAAACUGGAGGGUCCUCGAUGUACACUCCUUUUCUGAUCACAGAAAUCCUAGGAACACAGACUGGGAAGGUUACCGCAGGAGGAUUCGGUAAGUGGGCCCUAUACACUGAAGAAACACUUCAAAUGUUCCUUGGUGCUCACUUUCCGAGCUCCACGUCCUCUGCGGAGGGAUCUCUCGGAGUGUUGCAUGAUGACUGUCUGGCCUUUGUCGACCCUCUGGAUGAGCGACACUUGACAUGGACGAUUAAUUCAUUCAAACCCUUCAAGUCUGGAGGGAUGGCAUCAUACCAACGCAGCUGCAGCAGGAUGUUAAGGUGUCGUGCAGCUGGCUGGCACUUAUCUAUGCAAACUGCAUCAGAUUAGGUUACAUCCCGGGGGCCUGAAGACGAGUCAGAGUUACGUUCAUCCCGAAAGCUGGCAAGGGCGUAUCUCAGCGUUGUAACAAAAUAGUCGGAAGUAGACUCGCCAUCAACACAAAUAAAACGGAAAUGGUUUUAGUCAGUAGAACAUAUAAGAUCCCGGUGGCACCGUUGCCGCAAGUGGGAGGUAUUCGCCUGCAACCAGCGGAUACAGUGAAAUAUUUAGGGCUCA
rnacentral:lncRNA from 1 species